rnacentral:rRNA from 1 species
UAGGGAAUCUUGCGCAAUGGGCGAAAGCCUGACGCAGCAACGCCGCGUGGGGGAUGAAGGCCUUCGGGUUGUAAACUCCUUCCAGUGGGAACGAAAUUGACGGUACCCACAGAAGAAGCCCCGGCCAACUACGUGCCAGCAGCCGCGGUGAUACGUAGGGGGCGAGCGUUGUCCGGAUUUAUUGGGCGUAAAGAGCUCGUAGGCGGUUUGGCAAGUCAGCGUGUGAAACCUCCAGGCUUAACCUGGAGACGCCACUUGAUACUGCCAUGACUGGAGUCUGGUAGGGGACCAUGGAAUUCCUGGUGUAGCGGUGAAAUGCGCAGAUAUCAGGAGGAACACCAGUAGCGAAGGCGGUGGUCUGGGCCAGUACUGACGCUGAGGAGCGAAAGCGUGGGGAGCGAACAGGAUUAGAUACCCUGGUAGUCCACGCCAUAAACGAUGACAACUAGAUGUUGGGAGGGUCUGCCUCUCGGUGUCGCAGCUAACGCGUUAAGUUGUCCGCCUGGGGAGUACGGCGGCAAGGU